CUACAUAUCCUUAGCUAUAAAGGAAUCAGGUCACGUGUAGUUCAUAAGUAAAUGAGGUGAUGGAGUACCGAGGUGGAGAGCCGAUCAAGGUGUCGUUCCGCUGAGGUUCCUGUCUGUGGUCCUGUUAUUACACCAAAAAUCAAAAAAUAAAAAAAAAACUAACUAAGCCUGUCAACUAUGAGUUAUAAGAUUCCUAUCUAUAAGUCUUCUGAAGCUUGAUCUGGAGUCUUGAAUGGUUCUUCAUGCACACUUUAGAUUUGAACCUUGGCGCUUGUUAGUUGCAGGUGCUAGCUCGUUCUUAUUUAGUUUUUUGGAUCAAGAUCGGACAUGCAGUGCUUGUGACCUCAGUCAUGUCUUGAGCAAUCCGCCUCUUGUUUCAGCUUCUGCAUUUUUGGAUUCACUCCCUUUUUCCCUUUUUCUUUUAUUAUUUUUUUUUGUUUUGUUUUUUUUUUAAUUCGGGACUGAGGUUACUUCCAUUGAUCAUCUCGUCUGUUGACUCGCCUUCUUGCCUCAAGCUUCUGCUAAUUCUAACUUGAACUGUUUUCCUUUGAAACUUGAACUGCUUUCCCUUGAAACUCAAAUUGUUUUCCCUUGUUCUCCAGGUGGGCGCCUGAUUGCUGAAACUUGAACUGUCUUCCUUUGAAACUUACACUGGUUUCCUCGAAACUUGAACUGUUUUUUCUUAUUCUCCAGGUGGGCACCUGAUUCUACAACAAAACAGACAAAACAAAAGAAAUUUUUCUGCCCCAGUUUACACUAGGAAGAUUUGUGAGUUGUUAACAAAACUAUAAAUCACCUACGCUGCUGAUGGAGGAUGCAAUGAUGAGAGUAAAAUUAAUGACUCGACUAGGACAUGUGUCUCCUAUGCGUGAUUGAACUUGCGGAAAACUAUAAACUAAGCUUGACUAAAGUAAAGACUGACUCUAUUCUCCAGGCGGGACCCCUGAUUUCAAGAAAACUAAAAAUUGACCCUUUUUUUCAAAUCCAGACUUCCCUUUUUUUUCGAAUUCAGACUUCCUUUUUUUUAAUUAUUAUCCAAGGAUAAAAUUCAUCGGACUAGGUUUUCUAUCUUAGGAGAAAAAUUCAUCAGACUAAGAUUUUGAUCCUAGAAGAAAAGUUCAUCAGAUUAGGUCUCUUUUUGGUAUCUUAGGAGAAAGAUUCAUCAGACUAAGAUUUUGAUCCUAGGAGAAAAUUCAUCAGACUAGGUCACUUUUUUUGGUAUCUUAGGAGAAAGAUUCAUCAGACUAAGAUUUUGAUCCUAGGAGAAAGUUCAUCAUACUAGGUCUUCUAUCUUAGGAGAAAGAUU
rnacentral:lncRNA from 1 species